AUCACAAGCGUUUCACUGCCUCAGACUGAGGACACCUCUUCCCCUUCUCCCUUCCUCGCAUGCAGCACCCUUUGCUGGAGAGGGAGCAGUUUAAUUAAGCCGUGAUUAACGCCUCACACACGCCUGGCUGUCACUGAUGGAGCUCUGGGAAUGGCACCGCUGUGAGCUGAGCACCGUGCUGGAGCAGGGAAUGUCCCCUCCGGGUGUCUCAGCUGCUCCCCAGCAGUGCCAGCACAUCUGGCCAGCUGUGUGCGCCCGGAGGGUGCCCUGGCACAGCUGAGCUGCUCCCCAGCUCCAGCCAGGUAACGGCCCUUCCCAAGUCGUGGAAGUCAAGGCAACCAUCAGCUUUGCCUUCCCCAAAAAAGCUGCUCUCAUCAGGAAGCACAGUGCUCUUGUGGGAUUCUCCUGAUGCUGGGGCAGGGAACAACCCACAAACGUCACCGUCAUAUUUUCUGAAAAAUCCUCUUUGCCCAGGAUUUUCUCCUGGGAAGAUGAGAAGCCUCAGCUGCUCCUGUGUUUGUGGUCUGGAGAUUGUUUAUUCAACAUGUGAAUUGUUUUAACUUAAUGGCCAAUCACAGCCAGCUGUUUUGUCACGAAGUUUUAUUAUUCAUUCUUGUUAAGCCUUCUGAUGUAUCCUUUCUCUUUCUUUAGUAUAGUUUUAGUAUAGCAUUCUUUAAUAUAAUACUAUAUCAUAAAAUAAUAAAUCAGCCUCUGGGAACA
rnacentral:lncRNA from 1 species